UACGUAGGGUGCGAGCGUUGUCCGGAAUUACUGGGCGUAAAGAGCUCGUAGGUGGUUUGUCGCGUUGUCCGUGAAAACUCACAACUCAAUUGUGGGCGUGCGGGCGAUACGGGCAGACUGGAGUACUGCAGGGGAGACUGGAAUCCCUGGUGUAGCGGUGGAAUGCGCAGAUAUCAGGAGGAACACCGGUGGCGAAGGCGGGUCUCUGGGCCGAUGACUGACGCUGAGGAGCGAAAGCGUGGGGAGCGAACAGG
rnacentral:rRNA from 1 species